GCUCUGGGGUUGACUCCACUAAGUCUAAAUUUGAAUUUUCUCCUUUGAAGACUUUGACUUAGUGAGUUUUGUGAAGAUCAUUUCUAAUGAAUAUUUCUUUAAUUUUAAUACCUGAAAAGAUCUACAAACAUUCUUAAAAUAUAUGAUUAGAUCUAUGAUAUAGUCAAAGUUUGGCAAUCAUGAAAAUCAAUCAUGGGGUCAAC
rnacentral:lncRNA from 1 species